CAGUAGCCGCGGGAAUACGGAGGGAGCUAGCGUUGUUCGGAAUUACUGGGCGUAAAGCGCACGUAGGCGGCUUGGUAAGUUAGAGGUGAAAGCCCGGAGCUCAACUCCGGAAUUGCCUUUAAGACUGCCGAGCUAGUAGGUGAGAGAGGUAAGUGGAAUUCCGAGUGUAGAGGUGAAAUUCGUAGAGAUCGGGAGGAACAUCAGUGGCGAAGGCGGCCAUCUGGGACAACACUGACGCUGAGGCACGAAAGCGUGGGGAGCAAACAGGAUUAGAUACCCGCGUAGUCCCUGUCUCUUAUAC
rnacentral:rRNA from 1 species